rnacentral:rRNA from 1 species
AACGAACGCUGGCGGCAGGCCUAACACAUGCAAGUCGAACGGACGUAGCAAUACGUUAGUGGCUCACGGGAGAGUAACGCGUGGGAACCUACCUUUUGGUUCGGGAUAACAUCGGGAAACUGGUGCUAAUACCGGAUAAGCCCUUCGGGGGAAAGAUUUAUUGCCGAAAGAUGGGCCCGCGUUGGAUUAGCUAGUUGGUGAGGUAAUGGCUCACCAAGGCAACGAUCCAUAGCUGGUCUGAGAGGAUGAUCAGCCUCACUGGGACUGAGACACGGCCCAGACUCCUACGGGAGGCAGCAGUGGGGAAUAUUGGACAGUGGGGGAAACCCUGAUCCAGCCAUGCCGCGUGAAUGAUGAAGGCCUUCGGGUUGUAAAGUUCUUUUGGUGGCGACGAUGAUGACGGUACCCACAGAAUAAGCUCCGGCUAACUUCGUGCCAGCCGCCGCCGUAA